ACAACCAUGAUGGAAAACAAUUACAGAUAAUGAGAUGAUUAAGGACAUAUUUAUUUUGCGCCACCUGAGGCACUGUAGAGUUUUAAUAGUUGGAUAGUGGGUCUUGAACUUAGGAGAAAAAGACUUAAGGUGUAAGAUUAGAAAUACUAGCUCUACCCUUUGCCAAUUGUUUGAUCUAGAACAUGAUUAUUCAUUUCUGAAUCUCAGUUUUAUACUCUUAAAAAUAAAUGGAACAGAUAACUAAUGAGAUACUAUAUGUGAAGUUGGCUAGCACUGCACCUGAGGUUUUAGUUAUAUCCUUUGUCUUUCUUUCCAUUUCAUUCCUCCUCUUCUCUUUCCCAUACCAUAUAGUGUAACCAUCAUUGGUGUUAGAGACAAAAAUAAUUUCUUUUAAAUCCUGAUUCCAUCACUUAUUAAUAAUGUGACCUUUACUUAAACUCCAGGAAAUUUUGUUUUAUCAUCAACUAUAAAGUAAGCAUGCAACCAUGUGUUGGUUUUGCCAGGAUUAAGUAAAGAUUUAAUUAUUGUUUAGUAUUUAUUACUAUGAUUUUAAUAAUAUGCCAGGA
rnacentral:lncRNA from 1 species